rnacentral:lncRNA from 1 species
GUGUUUGGUAUGAGGUAAUGAGAGAAGGAAUGGAAUUAACCAUUCAGGGGUAAUACAAAUAGGAAUGUUUGGUUGCUAAAAGGAAAGGAAUAACCCAUUACUUACCUUAUUCCAUUCCCUCUAAAUAUGGCAAAAAGUAUUCCAGCGACCCCCCCUAUUUUUUUUUCAUUCCGUUCGGAAUAGAUAAGAGACUUCUCAAUUUUGCCCUCAUCCUCACCUAUUUUCCCUCGCUGAUUCGUUUCCUCUAAUCAAGGAUCUCUGGUUAUAUAUUUCUUUCAUCUUCAUCAGCAAGCAGAGCUUCAGCAUUUGAGCCCUAAAUCACCAGUUACUUGUUUGGAUUUUCGUCAUCAAACACAAAACCAGGUAAAUGUUUUUUCAUUCAUUGGAAUAAUUAGAAUAAGUACUAGCUUGAGAAGUUACAAUAAAUGGUACAGGUGCAUCCAGGUAGUCCAGCAUGUCAUUUGGCAAUACCUGAGAAUAACAUGCAUACACUUUUAAAGAAUUGAACUUGAAGGCUGGGAAUUUUGAACUUUAUAAAUUAUAAACCAACAAAUGAAUAUUUAAUCUUGGAUUUAGUACCGGCAUCAAGAAGCUCUGCCAGGAAAAAAUAAAAAAAAAUGGAAUGAAGAUGAAGAUGAGAAGCUUGUUGCAGCCAUGCUUGAUGUGCUCAAUUCAGGUUCUAAUUACAAAUCAGAUAAUGGGUUUAAACCUGGAUUCU